AACGAGAAUUUCCCGUGAGUCUGCGGGAGCCAAAAUCCUUAGACAGGAGGCGUUUAGGAGAAGAAAGGAGGAGGAAGAUCGUUGGGAAAAAAGGGGAGGGAAGGUGAAAAAAGAAGAAGAGCGUUGAGAACAAAGAAAGGAGGAGAAGGGAGGGAGAGAAUGGAGACGGGGCUGCGGAGCGGCGUGCCUCUCCUGAGGCAGCAGUUCACGGCCCUCCUGAAGAAGAACUUCCUCCUCUCGUGGCGCAACAAAAGGGCCACGUCUCUCCAGCUUUUAUCGUCCCUCUUCUUCAUCUUCCUCAUCUUCUGCAUCCAGGAAGCCAUCAAGGCCCGGCUCGCCACCACGACCUACUACGAGAACGUGACGGAUCCGCCGGCGCUCGUCUCGCCCCCGAUACCAGCCUGCGAGGAGAAGUACUACAUCAAGUCCCCGUGCUUCGAUUUCGUCUGGAGCGGGAACUCGAGCAAGACGGUUGGAUUGAUCGUUUCGAACAUUAUGAAGAAUAAUCCAGGCAGGCCGAUUCCUUCGUCUAAGGUUCUCUCUUUCGCGACAUCAGAUGCCGUUGAUGACUGGCUUUUCAAAAAUCCCAUGCGUUGCCCUGGAGCCCUUCAUUUUGUAGAGAGGAAUGCCACCUUCAUCAGCUACGGGAUUCAAACUAACUCCACUCCGUUGAUCAGGAGGGGGAAUUUUGAGGACCCCACUUUCAAGUUUCAGAUACCCCUCCAGAUUGCAGCAGAGCGUGAGAUAGCCAGAACUCUCUUAAAAGAUCCAGGUUUUAGUUGGAAUGUUGGGCUCAAGGAGUUCGCGCAUCCUGCCCUAGAAACUUUUUCAGCUGUUGGUACAGCUGGACCAACAUUCUUCCUCGCAACCGCGAUGUUUGGCUUUGUAUUGCAAGUUAGUUCGCUUAUCUCAGAGAAGGAGCUCAAGCUUCGACAGGCACUAUCUAUCAUGGGGCUUUACGAUUCUGCUUACUGGUUAUCGUGGCUUACAUGGGAAACAGUUUUGACUCUUAUAUCAUCUCUUUUCAUUGUACUUUUCGGCAUGAUGUUUCAAUUUCGAUUUUUCCUCUCAAACAGUUUCGGAGUUCUGUUCCUCGUUUUCUUCCUUUUCGAAUUUAACAUGAUUGGUCUUGCAUUCAUGAUAUCUACUUUCAUCAGUAAGUCAUCGUCAGCAACUACAGUUGGGUUCUCCAUCUUCAUUAUUGGGUUUUUGACCCAGCUUGUUACAACUUUUGGAUUCCCAUAUAGCAUGGAUUUUUCAAGGACAUACCAGAUUAUCUGGUCCUUCUUUCCUCCUAAUCUCCUUUCACAUGCCUUGAAACUCCUUGGAGAUUCAACUGCCAAUGCUGGAGACGAAGGCAUAAGCUUCCAAAGGCGUGGAAUGUGCCCAGAUGCAGAUCCAAAUUGUGUGCUUACUAUAGAUGGAAUUUACAAAUGGCUAAUUACCACAUUCUUCUUGUGGUUUUUUCUGGCUAUCUACUUUGACAACAUCAUCCCGAAUUCCAACGGUGUGAGGAAAUCAUGCUUCUAUUUUUUGUAUCCUUCAUAUUGGACCGGCCAGGGUGGCAACAGCGCAACAGAGGGUAGCAUUUGUAGUUGCAUAGGAUCUACUCCACCACUAGAAGAUGAGCCCCAAAAUGAUGAAGAUGUCCUUGAAGAAGAAAUUACGGUGAGAAGGCAAGCAACUGAGAAUGCGCUUGACCCGAAUGUAGCCGUUCAAAUUCGUGGACUGGUGAAAACGUAUCCUGGAACAACAAAGUUGAUCGGUUGUUGCAGGUGUCAAAGAUCUUCACCCUACCAUGCCGUGAAAGGAAUUUGGGUGAAUUUUCCUAAAGAUCAAUUAUUUUGUCUCCUUGGACCCAACGGAGCUGGUAAAACCACUGUCAUUAACUGCUUGACAGGCAUAACUCCAGUAUCUGGCGGUGACGCUCUGAUUUAUGGAUACUCUGUCCGUAGCUCUGUUGGGAUGUCUUAUAUCCGGAAAAUGAUAGGUGUUUGUCCCCAGUUCGACAUAUUAUGGGAUUCCUUGUCAGGCAAGGAACACCUACAUCUCUUCGCCAGCAUCAAAGGCCUAGCUCCUGCUUCAAUUGCAUCGGUUGCUGAAAAAUCAUUAGCAGAAGUAAAGCUUAUAGAUGCAGCUGAUAUGAGAGCUGGAAGCUACAGUGGAGGAAUGAAACGUCGGCUAAGUGUAGCUAUAGCGCUUAUUGGGGACCCAAAAUUGGUUUUCCUGGACGAACCAACAACAGGUAUGGAUCCAAUUACUCGUAGGCACGUGUGGGACAUCAUCGAGGAUGCAAAAAAAGGACGUGCAAUUGUCCUGACUACUCAUUCCAUGGAGGAAGCUGACAUUCUGAGUGACCGGAUAGCCAUCAUGGCAAGAGGAAAGUUGCGUUGCAUAGGAACCUCAAUACGCUUGAAGUCAAAGUUUGGUGCCGGUUAUGUGGCCAAUGUUAGCUUUGCCAGAAGUUCACCUGAGCGAACUCCAAACCACAAUGCAAAUGCACGUCCACAUGAAACAUCACAUGAGGCUGUCAAGCAAUUUUUCAAAUAUCAUCUUGGCGUGGUACCCAAAGAGGAGAACAAGGCAUUUUUGACUUUUGUGAUUCCUAAUGAGAAAGAACCCUUACUUACUAAAUUCUUUGCUGAGCUGCAAGAUAAAGAGACAGAGUUUGGUAUCUCAGAUAUUCAACUUGGUCUGACCACUCUUGAGGAAGUUUUCCUAAAUAUAGCAAAGAAAGCAGAAUUAGAAAAUGCUUUUGCUGAAGGAAGCUUCGUGACUCUAAAUUUGACAUCUAGUACUUCUAUUCAGAUACUUAAAGGAGCAAGGUAUGUCGGAAUACCAGGGACUGAGACUGCGGAAAAUCCUAGAGGAGUCAUGAUUGAAGUGUACUGGGAACAAGACGAUGCUGGUGAGCUCUGCAUCUCUGGUCAUUCCGAUGAAAUGCCGAUACCCCCGAAUGUACAGUCAUCAGCCUCCCUUGGAGGCAUCUUGUCACGCAGCCGCAGGUUCUCUUUCAGAAGCCAUGGGCUGCCUGUUGGAACUGUCAUUGAUCCUGAUCAGGUUCAACGUUCUACUGGCUUCUAGCACGUUAGCUUCUGUGCAUAUAUAGCUGCAUAUGUAUUUUUGGUAGUGAGAGCUGAGCUUCUGUGGGAAACCUGAAUCUCAGUAUCCUUUUCUUGCUCACCGAGACUCGCACACUCUCGCUCUAAGAGAAAAUAGAUCAAAGGACAACGACGACCUUCAUGUCACCACUGGGCGAAAUACUCUAUGCUUGGGAAGACAAAGAAAGGGCCUUCAGAUUUAGAGAUUGUGAAGAAGAAUAAGCAAACCUAAAGUGCCAGCGGCGGCAGAUAACAUUAAAGACGGGGAGAGUGACGAACAGCAG